AUGGAAAUCAGUCGAGUGAGAAUCUCCGACACGGCAACAACCGCUGCCCACUAUUUGUCACCAACUUCCUUUUUCAUUGUAUUGAACCAGUUCAAGCAGAGUUAACUAUGGCUUUAUGCUGCUUUUUGGUUUUGCAUCGUUGAUGGCUGUGUCCAACACAAGUGUACCGAUGUCUCGUGGGUAUGGCGGAUAGCAAACCGCAACGCCGCUGCCUUACUACACAACAACAACAUUACACACAGCACCAGUUAUUAGUGAUUAUUAAUGUUGAAACUAAUUGUUUAGUUAACCAUAGCGUCGUGCUGCUGUUGGGUGUUGUAUGGUUGAUGGCUGGGAAGACCACUGGUGUACCGAUGUCUCCUUGUUACUACACCGAGGCCCUCAAGUACUACACCAUCAAGGCACCGUAGUAUUAUGCCAUAACUAACGUGGCCCCGAAGUAUUACUCUGCCCCGAGUUACACCACCAAGGUACCGGAGUACUACACGAAUAAUGCUGCCCCAACCUACUACACCGAGGUUCCCAAGUACUGCUCUGUCCUCAGCUACUUACUACACCGAUGACUAGAGUAGUACUACUCUUUUCCCAGCUACUACAACGAGGCUCCAGCUGAUUACUAAACCAAAACGGUUGCAAACUACACCAAAGCGCCCAAGAAAUACUCUGCCCCGAUCUACACAACCACAACUUAGGCGGUCAAGUAUUACGCAGCCCUAACUUACUACACCUUAGAAGCUGUGUUUUCAUCCAGCAUUUACAUUGAAACUAAAGAUAAUUAAUGAUUUCACUUCAUUUUGGUUCUAGUUUACUGUUCUGAUAGUUGCGGUCAUGAGGUUUGUUAUUGCAUCAUAUGUUGGUGAAAGAUUUAUGAGCAUCAAAUUUAAUUCUGCCUGUUAAUUGGUGCUGGGAUAGUCAAUUGUGUUUUAAAAGUUGCAUUCAGUAUUUUGUUCAAUUGGCAUUUCGUCUAUAUAGUUCGAAUGCUAAGAUUUAAGAAGGAAGGAGGAGGAAGUUGGGGAGGGGAAGAAAAAUUAUUUUCACAUGUCAAAUGCAGAUUAAUGGAAAAACAUUAAUUAAAUAUUCGCUAACACAGUAUAUUUUAUUCAAUGUC